UAAUAAGUGUUUUAUGGCACUUUUUAAAUCCAUAUCCACCUUGUGUGCAAUGUCAGUCGAUCUUCUUUUAUGGAGGAUCGACCAAACAUCAACCUUUAUUUCUUAACUCUUUGUCUGAAAAAUAUUAUGAAUAAACAAUUCAAAAUA
rnacentral:misc_RNA from 1 species